UACGGAGGGUGCAAACGUUGUUCGGAAUUACUGGGCGUAAAGCGCGUGUAGGCUGCUUCGCAAGUCGGAUGUGAAAGCCCUGGGCUCAACCCAGGAAGUGCAUUCGAAACUGCAAAGCUGGAGUCCUGGAGAGGAAGGCGGAAUUCUCGGUGUAGAGGUGAAAUUCGUAGAUAUCGAGAGGAACACCGGUGGCGAAGGCGGCCUUCUGGACAGUGACUGACGCUGAGACGCGAAAGCGUGGGGAGCGAACAGG
rnacentral:rRNA from 1 species